rnacentral:rRNA from 1 species
CCUACGGGAGGCAGCAGUGAGGAAUAUUGGUCAAUGCACGAAAGUCUGACCCAGCCACGUAGCGUGAAUGAUGACUGCCCUCUGGUUUGUAAGCUUCUUUUAUAUGGGAAUAAAAUGUUCUACGUGACUGUUUUUGUAUUUACCAUAUCAAUAAAGACCGCCUAACUCCGUUCCAGCAGCCGCGGUGAUACGGGGGGUCCGGGUGUGAUCCGGUUUUAUUGGGGUUAAAGGGAGCGUGGGUGGAUUGUUAAGUCAGUUCUUAAAGUUUGAGGGUAAACCGUAAAAGUGCAGUUGAAACUGUCAGUCAUGAGUACAGUAGAGGUGGGAGGAAUUCGGGGUGUAGCGGGGAAAGGCUUAGAUAUAACGAAGAACUCCGAAUGCGAAGGCAGAUCACUGGACGGCAACUGACACUGAGGGUCGAAAGUGUGGGUAUAAAACAGGAUUAGAUACCCGGUAGUC